ACGCGCGCUCCCACUCGGGCCCGCGCGCCCCUGGCGCCCCGCUCCUCUGCGAGCCCGCGCGCCCUCAGUCUAUUUUUUCCUAUUGCAUUUUAUCCUCACACUCUAAAAUAGGUCAGGGGGUAGAAGUUACACCUGGUGCAGCCCCCGGCUCUGAUGCAAAAGCAGCUUUUCCUCCCCGGCUUCGGGAGAGCAUUGCAACUACUCGGAUCGUCGCCGAGGGUGACCUGUUUACCUUGAAAACUUAGACGUGAUCAAAACAGGCGAGCUUGGCAUGCAGUAAGGGAUUGCGGAAUGUCCUUCAGAUAUUAGACCGGAUAAAUCAGAACUCAGAGCUGCAGGGGACAUGUCAAGUGUCUUAAAGGUAAGGAAAGCUAUAUUUUCAAGUCAGUCCUGAUGGCCUAGUGGUUCAAGUUCGGUACGCUUCGCUCUGGUGGCCCAGGUACAGUUCCCGGACUCAGAAGCACACCACACGUCUGUCAGUAGCCAUGCUGUGGCUGUGGCUCACAGAGAAGAACUAGAAGGACUUACAGCUAGAAUAUACAACUAGUAAGGCCUGUAUUCCCUUCACCAACUCACACAAAGUGGUUCAGCAUGUGAAAGACCUCGCUGUUUGAUCUCAGUCCUGCGUCUUUGCACUUACAUUACACAUUGAGAGUCGUGAGAAGAAGCUGUCACUCUCGGGGGGUGAAAACAGCCGUGAUUCACAAAGACAAGAAGUAAUUUUCCUGUGCUCACAAGAUGACUCAGGAUGGAUCAUGAAGCCGCCCGGCUGGAGAAGCAGCACGUGCACGAUGUAUAUGAGAGCACCGCCCCUUACUUCAGUGACCUGCAGAGCAAAGCCUGGCCUCGAGUCCGCCAGUUCCUCCAGGAGCAGAAGCCAGGCAGCCUCAUCGCUGACAUAGGUUGUGGGACUGGGAAGUAUCUUAAAGUGAACAGCCAGGUACACACCCUGGGCUGUGACUACUGUGGGCCAUUGGUAGAGAUUGCCCGGAGUAGAGGAUGUGAAGUCAUGGUAUGUGACAACCUUAAUCUCCCCUUUAGGGAUCAGGGCUUCGAUGCCAUCAUCUCCAUAGGAGUCAUACAUCAUUUUUCUACAAAACAAAGAAGGAUCAGAGCAAUAAAAGAAAUGGCCAGGGUGUUAGUUCCUGGAGGCCAGCUGAUGAUUUAUGUCUGGGCUAUGGAACAAAAGAACAGGCGCUUUGAGAAGCAAGAUGUGCUUGUGCCAUGGAACAGGGCUUUAUGCUCCCAGCUCUGCUCAGCAUCCAGCCAGCCUGGGAGAAAGAAGCAGUGCGGACAUCCAGAAAGAAGCCAUCCCUACCAGCCUCCUUGCUCUGUGUGUAGCUGUUCUGGUUGUUUUAAAGAGCGAUGUGCUUCAAGACGGUCCCACAGCAUGGACUAUGAACCAGUGAUGGCUGGAACCUGUUGUGCAAAUAUUUCCGAGGAAGGAGAGGAAGAAAAUGGAUUCUAUAACACAUUAGGAAAAUCUUUUCGUUCCUGGUUUUCCUCCAGAUCUUUGGAUGAAUCAACUCUGAGGAAGCAAAUUGAAAGAGUGAGGCCCUUGAAAAACACAGAAGGGUGGGCCAACAGCACUGUAUCAGUCCAGCCUUCCAGACGCCCUAGUUUAGACUUAGAUCACCAGGAGCCGUUUUCAACAAAAGAGCAAAAUUUAGAUGAGGACGUGUUUGUGGAAACUUCUCAGAAACAUUUGGAGUGGCUGGGAGCACCAGCCACAAUGAAACAUCUAAAUGGAGACCAUCAAGGAGAAAUGAGGAGAAAUGGAGAUGGGAAUUUUCUGGGCAGCACUAAUACGAAGGAGAAUUGUGUGGACGCAGGUAACUUAGAAGAAGGCAGUCCUUCUGCUAGUAAAACAUCGAGAAGGAUUUCUGCAGUCGAUUCUACAGAUUCCAACCCAGAUGACGUAAUUUCUGUCGAAGAACAACAGCCCAACGUUUUGGAUUCCAGAGCCUUGAUGCGCUACUACCACGUGUUUCGAGCAGGCGAGCUCUACAGCCUGCUGACGGAGAAUGUGUCAGAGCUCCGUGUUCUGAGCUCUGGGAAUGACCAUGGCAACUGGUGUGUCAUUGCAGAGAAAAAGGAAAAUUGUGAUUGAUUGGAUCAUUUUAGACAACUCCUCCAAAAGUGAACCACAUUCUUGUCACUGGGUUUGGUAUGGUUACCUGAAUUUACAUCCAUUUUUAUUAUUUUUUAAUCCAUUUAUGCUUUGGUCUGUAGAGACUAUGAGUUGAUCACCUUUUUAAUCUUUGGGUAAGCACAGACCAUGGCAUCUAAAGCAAUUGACAAAGGGUAUUUGUGGUUAAAUAUUAAUAUAAGAGAUCUGAAGAAGCAAUAUAAAAUGAACUUCAAUACGAUUUGGAUUGUUUUCCCCUGAAAGGUGAGAAAACUGAGGGCUAUUCAGAUACUUUAUUCAUUUCAUUUGUUUACUCAACCCUGCUAUGUGCCAGAUACAUAUGAUAUGAGGUAAUGAAUAUAAGGUGUGUUAAGUAUACAUGGAAUAUUAGGAUUAACUGACCUGAAAGUGCCAAGCUGGAACAUUUUUCAUAUUCUUGUGUAUCUGCUACCAAGUUUUAUUGUUUAGUUUGAGAAAAGCAAUAUACAAAACCCCUCUUAGAGACCCACAGGCGUAUUAGCAUAUUUAAGGCCUCCCCUAAAGUAAACUUGGACUUCAUUUAACUGAGCUGCCCCAGACAUAUUAACAUCCUCUAGCACAAGCAUUCUGUGUCACACAUUUCAGAAAAUAAUAUGUCCAAGAGAAUAUAAUGCAAACUCCUUAGGAGAACAUUCAGACCCUGCAUAAAUUCACUCGAAAUUAUUUUUCAGCCUCAUCAUCUGCAACUGCAUCCAAUUUUUUCUGUUCUGCAAUCUGCUGCUUUAAACAAUGCUUUCAUUAGAAAUUACAUAAUGACAAGUAAUUAUCACAUCCCCUAGAUAUAAACUUGGAUUUCAAAUGCCACACUUGUAAUCCUUUUCCAAAGAAAAAUGCGUCCAACAGGCUUCAUUCUGUCAAUUCAAAGGGCAUAUGAGAUAAGUGUUAUCACACACCCAUCCAACAGAUGGAAAAGCCAUGGGAGUGGAAGGGAAGUACGGAAGCGUCAGCAGACUCCAAAUCAGAAUGCUCCACUCCGCUCAUUCCAAUCUUAACUCAAAACUAUGAUUAUUGGCUUGAUAUUAUAGACUCCAUAUUUGCAACCUCAAUUAUCUACAAAACUGCAGUGGGAAUAUUUUAAAAGAACUCUCACCAACCAAGGAUUGACAUUAUAAUGCAAAUAGCCUUCGGCGUGGCAUGGAGAACACAAACACAGAAACCUAAGAGAGCUCAUCAAAGAGAAAACACUAACUGUGAGUUGUCCUAUUUCUGAUUCCCCACGGGUCCCACAGUAUGUGAUGCCUUCGUAGGAAUGGGCAUCAUUUCAGUUAUAACACCCAUUUGGUCCCCUCUAGAUGAGGGUCUUCCCCAGUUGAUUAUGCACAAGUACCACUCUAUCUGGGAGGAAUCAGAGCUAUAAUAUAAUCUAUAUGACCAAUCUGAGGGACCACGUGUGAGAGCUGGUUAACAGACUGGAUCCCCCAUUUGGCAAAUAAAUAUAUAUUUUGUCUUUUCUUCAAUUAGAGCAGGGAAAAAUAACGUUUACCUCAACCCGAUUAAUUAUUCAUUAAUCCACUUGAAACGAUAUCUUUUCUCCACAUGGAACAUUUCUUUUUCUCUGCAUGUUACCUCCACAGAGAAAAGGUCAUUAACCUGUAGGCAGUGUAACAGAAUGUUGAAUUCCCUGAAAAAGUUAUUUAUAUGUAUGCCCACCCAGCAGGGAAUUUGGUUGAAUGACAGGCAUUUCUCUAAUGAAUGCAUCACAUGGCUUCCAUUAGAUUAUCUACUAACGUAUGUGGAGGGACUCCAUUAGCAACGGUCUGCUCUUCUCUGUUUCUUUACACAGAACACUGGCGACACUUAAGGCUCACUAAUGUGGACCCCACCGGAAUUUCUGAGACACUUUGAAUAUGUAUGUGAAAACUGUCCCAUUUUCUUCAGAUAUUCUCUUAAAUAUAUAUGAUGUAAAUAUAUAUAUAUUCCUAGACAUCUGGUGUUUGCUGUCAUUAGUGACCAAGAAAAAGUAGCCCUCUUCUGCACUUGUCAGAACAUUAAAUUAGCAAUUACCAUAGAAAUGUAUUUCAUUGAAUAGGUUUUUUUGUUUCAGGGAAAUGGAAAGAUAAUUGUUCAAUGUUGUUGUGCCUCUUCUGAUGUUGACAUGUGUAUUUGUAUCCAAAACGUCUUUUUGUCCACAAUGUACAGUUACUUCAGCUUUUCCCAGAAGAAGCUAGCAAUAGUUUUAAAAGCACAAAUGUAUGUAAAAUAUCUUGACUGUUGUAAUAAUGUGAAGAUAUUUUGUUUGCAUUAACCAAUGAUGUGUAGGAUCUUUUUAUAAUAAGCAUUAUUAAAAAUGGUGUAAUUUGUAUGCUUAUGAAAUGUCUUAGUUUAUUUAAGUUACGUAUAAGUGUCCUUUUUAAAAAUGUUACUCGGUGAACAAAAUUUUGCAUUUCAUCUCCACUGUGAGUGGGACAGGAGAUUGUUCUUAUCCUUUAUCAAUUCAGCCAGCCAGCUCUCCUUAUACUUCAAUAGAACCAGGCAAAUUCCUAUUGGAAUUCUUUUAUCUUUGUCUAAAGGAAACUAAGCUAACCAUUUAAUAAUAGACUGUCUUUAAUGGGUUAAUAAAGAAAUAUUGUUGACUUAAAAAAAGACAUCUUUUAAGAUGAAUAAAGAUGUAUCAGACUAUCUGAAAAUGGGUGUGUGUGAAAAUAUGGUACUCAUAUUGAAAGGACAUCAAUUUUUAUGUUCUUGGAAUGCAAGCUCGUUGGUUUUCUGCUAACCUGCUCCAUCUGCAGGUUUCAGCUCAUUAUCUGGGGGGUGGUGUGAAGGAAGGGGGAGCUGUGCCCAGACCUGCUGCAGCUCUAACGCCGCUCCGCAGGGAUGCAUUCUAGCAGCAGAUGGUGCCCUGGCAAGGUGCAACCUUGACCACCUCGCACUCCCUUCCCUGCAAUGGAAGAAGCAACAGCAUCUCUGAGCAUCGCCUUGCCCCUCACAGUAGCUGCUUGGGGGACAAAAAUGAAAAGUACUGAUA